UCCCAAUCCCACUGAUGAGGAUCAGCCCAUGUUUAUGCAAAUACCGUAUACGUGAUAAACGUCCCUACAACAUGAUCUUUGGAAUGAACUAAGACAAAGGAAACUCUGAGGAAGGACCAUGGCCUGAGAGGUGGAAUUCAUCCUUCCGAGGACUGAGAUGAGGACGGAAAAUGAACCAUCGGGGGGAUUGACGGUGAAGAUGCUAAUACCUGCCCAGCAUCGACCCUAGUGCGGGUCCCAAGACCAUCCCCCUGUGCAGGCUCCACCACCGCUGUGCUAACUGGACCGCGGCAGAAGAGUGGAAGUUUUCAUGGGCUGAGCUGCUGAGUUCAGCCUGGGAACUGAGGCCAACAAGGGAGUCUCCUCGGCACACAAGUUUGAAAGAAGUCCUGGUGACUUCAAGCUCAGAACCAUGGACGGCAGGGCUCCCUCUGGAUGUGGAAUUCUCCGUCCCUUUCCAGGGAGGGAACAAAGCCCACAGCACCGAGACUCCUUCAGGGUGAGCAAAGGCCUGGAAACCUGUAUGCAGUUAAAGAAAAGGAAAGAAA
rnacentral:lncRNA from 1 species